CUUUGGGGUUUAUCUUCUUUUGCCCUCUCUCCCAUUCAUGCUCUCCUCUCCUCGGAUAUUCAAUUUCUAUGAUUCUUCAUUUUACUAGUGCUAGUUCUCGGGUUUGUGCACGCAACAGACCAUAGCAAAGUGGCAUCAAAUAAGGAAAUUUGCACAAGAUUUUCUAAGAUAAAUUGUUUCAACCCAAGCACAGGACAGAUAUUCAUGCAUAAGGACAAUAAAUGAGAACGAGCAUGUGCACAGGACUGAUAUUCAUGCGUAGGUAUAAGGACAAUAAAUGAGGGAGAAUGUGUGCGCAUUUGUGCCAUCGCGUCGUUAU
rnacentral:misc_RNA from 1 species